GACGAACGCUGGCGGCGUGCCUAACACAUGCAAGUCGAACGGGGUAAUUACUUCGGUGAUUACUUAGUGGCGAACGGGUGAGUAACGCGUGAGAAACCUGCCUUUCAGUGGGGGACAACAGUUGGAAACGACUGCUAAUACCGCAUAAUGUUAUUUGGGGGCAUCCUUGAAUAACCAAAGAUUUAUUGCUGAAAGAUGGUCUCGCGUCUGAUUAGCUAGUUGGUGAGGUAACGGCUCACCAAGGCGACGAUCAGUAGCCGGUCUGAGAGGAUGAACGGCCACAUUGGGACUGAGAUACGGCCCAGACUCCUACGGGAGGCAGCAGUGGGGAAUAUUGGGCAAUGGGGGAAACCCUGACCCAGCAACGCCGCGUGAAGGAAGAAGGCCUUCGGGUUGUAAACUUCUUUUACCAGGGACGAAGAACGUGACGGUACCUGGAGAAAAAGCAACGGCUAACUACGUG
rnacentral:rRNA from 1 species